AACGAACGCUGGCGGCGUGCUUAACACAUGCAAGUCGAGCGGUAAGGCCCUUUCGGGGGUACACGAGCGGCGAACGGGUGAGUAACACGUGGGUGACCUGCCCUCAGCUCUGGGAUAAGCCUGGGAAACCGGGUCUAAUACCGGAUAUGACUCCAUGACGCAUGUUGUGGGGUGGAAAGCCUUGUGCGGCUGAGGAUGGGCCCGCGGCCUAUCAGCUCGUUGGUGGGGUGAUGGCCUACCAAGGCGACGACGGGUAGCCGGCCUGAGAGGGCGACCGGCCACACUGGGACUGAGACACGGCCCAGACUCCUACGGGAGGCAGCAGUGGGGAAUCUUGCGCAAUGGGCGAAAGCCUGACGCAGCGACGCCGCGUGAGGAUGACGGCCUGU
rnacentral:rRNA from 1 species